CACGUAGGGGGCAAGCGUUGUCCGGAAUUAUUGGGCGUAAAGAGCUCGUAGGCGGUUUGUCGCGUCUGCCGUGAAAGUCCGGGGCUCAACUCCGGAUCUGCGGUGGGUACGGGCAGACUAGAGUGAUGUAGGGGAGACUGGAAUUCCUGGUGUAGCGGUGAAAUGCGCAGAUAUCAGGAGGAACACCGAUGGCGAAGGCAGGUCUCUGGGCAUUAACUGACGCUGAGGAGCGAAAAGCAUGGGGGAGCGAACAGG
rnacentral:rRNA from 1 species